GACGAACGCUGGCGGCGUGCCUAAUACAUGCAAGUCGAACGCACAGUUUAUACCGUAGCUUGCUCCACCAUAGACUGUGAGUUGCGAACGGGUGAGUAACGCGUAGGUAACCUGCCUGGUAGCGGGGGAUAACUAUUGGAAACGAUAGCUAAUACCGCAUAAUAUUAAUUAUUGCAUGAUAAUUAAUUGAAAGGUGCAAUUGCACCACUACCAGAUGGACCUGCGUUGUAUUAGCUAGUAGGUGAGGUAACGGCUCACCUAGGCGACGAUACAUAGCCGACCUGAGAGGGUGAUCGGCCACACUGGGACUGAGACACGGCCCAGACUCCUACGGGAGGCAGCAGUAGGGAAUCUUCGGCAAUGGACGAAAGUCUGACCGAGCAACGCCGCGUGAGUGAAGAAGGGUUUCGGAUCGUAAAGCUCUGUUGUAAGAGAAGAACGGGUGUGAGAGUGGAAAGUUCACACUGUGACGGUAUCUUAACAGAAAGGGACGGCUAACUACGUG
rnacentral:rRNA from 1 species